rnacentral:rRNA from 1 species
GACGAACGCUGGCGGCGUGCUUAACACAUGCAAGUCGUACGGUAAGGCCCUUUCGGGGGUACACGAGUGGCGAACGGGUGAGUAACACGUGAGUAACCUGCCCACAACUUUGGGAUAACGCUAGGAAACUGGUGCUAAUACUGGAUAUGUGCUCCUGCUGCAUGGUGGGGGUUGGAAAGCUCCGGCGGUUGUGGAUGGACUCGCGGCCUAUCAGCUUGUUGGUGGGGUAGUGGCCUACCAAGGCGGCGACGGGUAGCCGGCCUGAGAGGGUGACCGGCCACAUUGGGACUGAGAUACGGCCCAGACUCCCACGGGAGGCAGCAGUGGGGAAUAUUGCACAAUGGGCGCAAGCCUGAUGCAGCAACGCCGCGGGCGGGAUGACGGCCUUCGGGUUGUAAACCGCUUUCAGCAGGGACGAAGCUUUUUGUGACGGUACCUGCAGAAGAAGCACCGGCUAACUACGUG